UGGGGAAUAUUGCGCAAUGGGCGAAAGCCUGACGCAGCAACGCCGCGUGAGUGAAGAAGGCCUUCGGGUUGUAAAGCUCUUUUGGACGGGACGAAGGUGUAUGACUUAAAUAAAGUCAUGCAUUGAUGGUACCGUAGUAAACAGCACCGGCUAACUUCGUGCCAGCAGCCGCGGUAAUACGAAGGGUGCAAGCGUUAUUCGGAAUGAUUGGGCGUAAAGGGUUCGUAGGUUGGAGAAUAAGUCAGAUGUAAAAUCCCUAAGCUUAACUUGGGUUGUGCAUUUGAGACUGUUUUCCUUGAGUACAGGAGAGGGUGAUGGAAUUGCUGGUGUAGGAGUGACAUCCGUAGAGAUCAGCAGGAACACCGGAGGCGAAGGCGGUCACCUGGCCAUGUACUGACACUGAGGAACGAAAGCGUGGGUAGCAAACAGG
rnacentral:rRNA from 1 species